UAACUAUUACUCUAUAGCUGUGAGUUACGAUAAUUACUAUAUUAAUUUACAAGAUUAGAGUAACUCCUUACUAGGUGGUUUACUAUAAUAUUACGGUAAAUAUCCCCAUAUGUUAUAGUAACCCAACUAUCGUACAUAUAUAUAUAUACAUAUUAUCGUAAAUUAGUAUAUAAAAUUAUCGUAAAUGGAGAUGGCUACAUAAUAACAUAUUUUGUAGCUA
rnacentral:pre_miRNA from 1 species